GGCGCACGGGUGAGUAACGCGUAUCCAACUUGGCUUAUACUUAGGGAUAACCCGUUGAAAGACGGCCUAAUACCUAAUGGUUUAUAAUAGUUGCAUGACUGUUAUAAUAAAGAUUUAUCGGUAUAAGAUAGGGAUGCGUCUGAUUAGUUAGUUGGUGAGGUAACGGCUCACCAAGGCAUCGAUCAGUAGGGGUUCUGAGAGGAAGGUCCCCCACAUUGGAACUGAGACACGGUCCAAACUCC
rnacentral:rRNA from 1 species